rnacentral:rRNA from 1 species
UACGUAGGGGGCUAGCGUUGUCCGGAAUCAUUGGGCGUAAAGAGCGCGUAGGCGGCCAGAUAAGUCCGGUGUGAAAGUCAAAGGCUCAACCUUUGAAUGCCGCUGGAAACUGUCUGGCUAGAGUUCGGUAGGGGAACACGGAAUUCCUGGUGUAGCGGUGAAAUGCGCAGAUAUCAGGAGGAACACCGAUGGCGAAGGCAGUGUUCUGGGCCGAAACUGACGCUGAGGAGCGAAAGCGUGGGGAGCGAACAGG